UACGUAGGGCGCAAGCGUUGUCCGGAAUUACUGGGCGUAAAGCGCACGUAGGCGGAUUGUUAAGUCGGGGGUGAAAUCCUGGAGCUCAACUCCAGAACUGCCUUCGAUACUGGCGAUCUCGAGUUCGGGAGAGGUGAGUGGAACUGCGAGUGUAGAGGUGAAAUUCGUAGAUAUUCGCAAGAACACCAGUGGCGAAGGCGGCUCACUGGCCCGAUACUGACGCUGAGGUGCGAAAGCGUGGGGAGCAAACAGG
rnacentral:rRNA from 1 species